rnacentral:rRNA from 1 species
UACAGAGGGUGCAAGCGUUGUUCGGAAUUAUUGGGCGUAAAGGGCGCGUAGGCGGCCUUCUAAGUCGAACGUGAAAUCCCCCGGGCUCAACCCGGGAACUGCGUCCGAUACUGGGGAGGCUUGAAUCCGGGAGAGGGAUGUGGAAUUCCAGGUGUAGCGGUGAAAUGCGUAGAUAUCCGAAGGAACAUCAGUGGCGAAAGCGGCUUCCUGGACCAGAACUGACACUGAGGCACGAAAGCGUGGGGAGCAAACAGGAUUAGAAACCCU